rnacentral:lncRNA from 1 species
CUCUCCAAAAAAAGAAACCAAUGAGAGGUAGACCACCUAUCGAUACGACUCUCGCAAAAGAGCUAGCUCGAGGCGAUGCCCUUUCCGCGGUCCCUAGCCUCGCCCGGUGUGGAAGGCUCUGAAAGAAAACAAGAAACAGGGAGCGUGAGAACUAUAAUUUAUAGUUCCCAGUGGGCAAUUACUGACCUCAGCACAUUGCGCCACUAGGCCCAAAGAGUACGGUAGAUAUGAUAAACAACUGGAAUUAAACUGCAGAUAUAAAAGCAUGUAUUGAAUGCUAAAA